CCUACGGGUGGCAGCAGUGGGGAAUAUUGGACAAUGGGCGAAAGCCUGAUCCAGCCAUGCCGUGUGUGUGAAGAAGGCCUUCGGGUUGUAAAGCACUUUCAGUGGGGAAGAAAGCCUUGGGGCUAAUACCCUCGAGGAAGGACAUCACCCACAGAAGAAGCACCGGCUAACUCCGUGCCAGCAGCCGCGGUAAUACGGAGGGUGCGAGCGUUAAUCGGAAUUACUGGGCGUAAAGCGCGCGUAGGCGGUCUGAUAAGCCGGUUGUGAAAGCCCCGGGCUCAACCUGGGAACGGCAUCCGGAACUGUCAGGCUAGAGUGCAGGAGAGGAAGGUAGAAUUCCCGGUGUAGCGGUGAAAUGCGUAGAGAUCGGGAGGAAUACCAGUGGCGAAGGCGGCCUUCUGGACUGACACUGACGCUGAGGUGCGAAAGCGUGGGUAGCAAACAGGAUUAGAUACCCGGGUAGUC
rnacentral:rRNA from 1 species